CCCAAGAGCUCCAGCCUCCUUUAGCAUCCUUCUCGACCUUAGGCAUCCUCCGGGUUGACUUCCAUCAUCCUUGCCAUCUUCCCGCACUCCUCAGGCCAACCUAGGUUAGUCCCAAAACUCCUUGCCAUUUUUCUGUUCUUUCUUCUUCGUAUACUGUUCGUUUAGCUUCCUCGAGAGCUUGUUUGCUAUUUUUUUAAUUUUUUUUCGAGAUUUUUGUGU
rnacentral:lncRNA from 1 species